rnacentral:sRNA from 1 species
UUGGUGGCUGUAUAUAUAUGACCCCCACCGUUUUUAAGGACUUCUGCUCGGCACAAAUGAGCGACUGAACCAUGGACAAAUGCAGUGGUUCACAGAGAAGAACGCUGGUCUGAAAUGCACUGUGUGAGGGGCAAUGUUCAAAACAUGCCCCCUGUAGGCACCCUGGCCUGAGUGUUCCAGUGCUGGAAGGUUUUAGGCUAGAGAUGCACUGAGGUAGGGAACUCAGACCGUCACACCCUCAGACAGUGUUUUCCCCAUGCUAUUUGAUAAGUUUCCAUGCCAAGAAUUCUUGAGCUUGCAUUGCUCUUUAAGGCUUGCCAGUAACCCUUCUAGUCGUGGAAAUAUCAAGAGAUGUGGAACACGGGUCUUUCAGAUUUUAAAGAAACUGCAUUCCUCUUCAUCGGAACAAAAUGUGACCAAGUUUAGCUGAGAUAGAAAAUAGUUUGAGAUGUUCUGAGCAAACUGAGUGCUGCUUUUUAGCACUGCAAAAUGUCAAGCUUGUAAUUCUUUUUAAGUUUGUAAUUUUAAUAGAAGCAAAGGAUACAAUUCUAAGAUUUUCCCACUGUUCCUGGAAUCCAGAACCAAUUCCAGCUGAGUUCCUUACUUUACUUCAUUGCAAAGGUUUCCUCUUCAUGCAUGCCCUUUGGAAAAAGAGCAAUUCCUGGUUUUCCUCAAGUUACCUUAUUAUUGCUCUGCCUUUCUCUGUCUCUACCUACCUCUCAACUCCCCUCUGCACGCCCUGAAUAAACUCUAUUCCAUAAUAAAAAAGAACUUACCUGAACUACCACGACUUAACACUGUGUCUCACUUUAUCAGUGUAUCUAUCCGUCUGCGAUAGAAACAUGACAUUUUACAGUGUAGGGAAGCUCACAGAACUGACGAUAACAGGUUUACAUGCACUCCAUCUCAGAUCCACCUGUCCUAGGAAGGCAACGUGCCCCGGAUUGCUGUACCCUUGUCUAUUCUGCUCCACUAGCUCCAGUUUACAAGAGAUUAGAUAAUGUCACUCACUUAGCUUUUGGUGCCACUGUAGUGACUCACUACAUUUCGCACUGAUAAUCCAAUCAUGAAACAGCUCCAAAAAUUAAAACAAAAACAAAAAGCAAAACAAUAACAACAACAGCAACAGCAACAACAAAGCCCAAGGAACAAAUCACGCAUUUACAAAGUAAAGUGACAUGGCAUAUAGUCUCAACCUUAGCCAGAGUUCACUGGGAGAGGUAGAAGUAGACACUGCUUCUAAAAUUAAGCGGGAGGAAACCAUAGCAGUCCUACCCUCAGGCCACAGCUGCCUCACUUCUAGCUCUAUUGCUAUUGAAGAAAUAGUGACUCCUCCAGAGGGGGCCAGAAGCCAUUUUUUUUUCAGGACUUGGAAGACAAUGGCCCGGGCGCCAUCUUCAUUGUUGAACUAACCACCAGUGUUAACACCUGAGGUAGCCAAAAGCCUGACAUCAGAGAACACCCACAGGUCAGAGAGCCUCAGCUCAUCCUGCCACAAUCCCCUGGUGAAAGACUCAGGGGUACUUUAGUCCAGAGCAAGAGGGUCGGGCGCUACUUAAGGAAACCGUGCAGAAGGCAGGGGUUGGGCUCAAACUGAGAAGGGUCUUAACAGAGAGAGUUUUGUCUUCUGCCGCUAAAACCAGCUCUUAUCAGCAGAAUUUCCUCACUGAGUUCGACAGCUCUGAACUUGAGGACAAGGGACCACUUCCAUUCUGAAGUUACCUAGGCGUGCUUCACUGCCGUAGACCCAAGAACUCUAAAGGUCCGGUACUGUAUAUGACUUCACAGUGGUAUCCUACAGAGGGGUGAUUGAUGACAUCUUGAAGGUAGGAUGUCCUUGAUUUUAUCUGUCUCUGUCCAGUGGUUGCCACCCAUACUCUCAAUGCAUUCGGAAGAUAACCUUUAGACGAACAGUCCCAACCAGUCCUCAUCUUCUCCAGAUGCCUGUGUUUGUGUUCAUUUGGAGAUAGGGUUUAACCAUAGAGGACAUGCUGGCCUUGAAGCCAUGAUUCUUCUGGCCCACUAAGGAGAUAACUGGUCUUAUACAUUCACCCUAUGCACAGACGUUUUAGAGACUGCCUGUGAGGCCUUGAAGAUAACUACUACCCAUGUCAUUGAACACAGAGAAACCAAACUUGUUCCUACCAGGAGUCUUCACCCUGUGGAUUAGUGUUCAUGGUACUGUAUGGUGAUCUGUGUGCUACCGAAGGAGAAACAUAAACACCAAUCCAGCUACAAACUCUCCUGUCUAACAUAGUGAACCACUUGCAAUCUGCGGUAGUGGGAUAGUGGCACAGGGCUUGUGGAACUUUUUGGUCGGAUUUGAGGCGCAUUGAAUUUGGUGGAACCCAACCCCAAGGCUUCACAGGUGGCAAGAACCUAAGAGCAGAGAGCUCAGGGAUCUAGGGGAAACCAAAGAAAUACAGCAAUAAAAUGUCUCCUAACAAUAUUCUUCUAUAUCCAUAGAUCAGUGUCUUUUUAGCCGUCAUUGGUGAGGUUUCUUCUUGCAGUAGAUAUCAAGUAAUAUGGAGACCCAGAGUUAGACAAAGUGAAGUGAGUGAGAGACCUUGAAACACCCAGUCCUAAAUAGCAUGUCUUUAUCAAUUCCCUCCCUCAGGGUUCAGGGAUCCCUGGGAUAGAAGAGCAAAGAGAUUGUAAGAGUCAGAUGGGAUGGAGGACAUAGGCAGCCAAGGCCUUCUAAAUACCGCAGCACUGGCACACAGAUGAACUCCCCAGAGAGUGUGGCAGCAUGCAUAGGUCUUGCACUGGUCUGGGCCUGAUGGCGUGCCAUCACUGAGAGGGGAAGCUGACACAAACUUCCAUCCCUAAUACAAAAGCUAUCUGGAGUUGAUAACCCUUCGAAAGUGAAAAAUUGUUCUCUAGUGGCAUCUCACUACAUACAUGAACCACACUGAAGGGCAGGCCUCAGGCCUAGUUGUAUGUGACCAACACGAAAUGAACUCACUAUCAUUGGAGUUUCUUUGUCUCAUAAUGAUUU